rnacentral:tRNA from 1 species
GGGGCUGUAACUCAGAGGUACGAGUGCUCGUUUCGCAUGCGAGAGGUCGCCGGUUCGAACCCGGCCAGCUCCA